CUUCUUAUUGGGUUUAGAUUUUCUGAAGCAAACUGAGUAAGAUUUAUCUUUUCUGAGUCUAGUGGUUUUAAGUUUUUGAAACCAAAGCUUCAAAGACAGAAGAACAGGAUCGUCAAGCAGUUGGGGCCACCCAAGCAAAGGCCUGAAGCUUCUAGCCAGGCCAUUUGUUCUGGUCAUGUUUUGGGGCCUAAGACAAUUGUUUGGGAAGAAAACUUGGGAUUCCACAGCAAGCGUAAUACAAUAUAGAUAUUAUUGUUAAGGAGAGUUUAUUUUUAUAGUGAUGAAGUUUUCCAAUAAUUAAAAGGGUGAUCAAGUGGUAUUAUGGGAGAUUAUUUCUCAGUGGACUAUGUAGAUGAGCAAUCCUUCUCUUCAUAGGAUAUUUUAGAAUUUAGUUUACUCUAAAAUAUGAACCCUUAAGUUAAUAAACAGGGUGGCAUCUGGUGCCAAGGAUUAAAUAUUUACUGGUAAAAUAUACAGUGAUGAAAAGGAUUUUCCAACAGGCGAUAAAUCAAAUAGUCUGAGCUCUGUAUUAAAUAUUAUUUUUAUCAGGGAAAAAAUAAAACUUGGCCCAUGGAACAAAGUUAACCCAUUGUUGUGGAUUCCUGGAGCCUAACUUGUGAGGAUCAGCAGACAUUCCUUUUAAAAACCAGGAAGUCCAGUGGACUUGCCAAAGUGCACACACUUAGUGAGGAGCAGAACAGCUGUAAAUACUUAUAUAUGCACCGGUUGUUGGAACCCAGGCUGUGUCUCAAUGAAGAUAAUGAAUCAAUUAUUGAAAGUAAACCAGCAAAUGGGAUUUUACACAGAUCAAGACCAAAGGAAACCUCGUGCCUGUUUGUCUAGAUUAGGGGAAGGUAAUUGCUGCAACCCACAGUGACUAAGGAAUUUGGUUUUACCCUUAGAAGUAGCGUUUAUCACAAGCUGAAUAACUUGAGUUCAAUCUACUGUCAGAGUCCACCAAUUGCCAGGGUUGGGUGCUGAGAACCAGACAAGGCAGGAGAAAGAGGAAAGGCCUCUCUGGAAUGCUCAGUUAUUGCAAUAAAGACUCUUCUAAGAAACA
rnacentral:lncRNA from 1 species